UCUGAAUUCCCUGAAGGUAAGGACUAUGUC
rnacentral:piRNA from 1 species